UGGGGUGUGGCUCAAGGGUCAAGUGCCUGCCUAGCAUGCAUGAGGCCCUGGGUUCCAUCCCCAGCACCGUCA
rnacentral:tRNA from 1 species